CCCUGUCCCAGCUGACUGUGCAGGCACAUGAGACCCAUGUGGCCAGGGCUUUUGAGUUUUCAAGACACAGUGGAAAUUUGGAUUUUUAUGUGACCUAUUCUGCAUGCUGAAGAAGAACCUUAGAACUAAGGUUCUAAUCCAGUCCCUCCCACCUCUCCUCGCCUGGUGAUUUUGGAUAAGACACUUAGCUUCUCUAAGCCUCCCAGCCCCAUCUAUAAAGUGGGCUCAGUAGAGCCAAACUCAUGAGGUUGUCACGCAAAUGAAAAAAGUAGCCACCAUUUAUUGAGCUAUGUGCCCCAGAGUGUGUGCCCCGUGUGUUUAGACCUUAGUGCCUCCCAGACUCUAAGAGCACAUGAGUCACCCUGGGGGUCUUGUUAAAAGGCAGAUUCUGAUUCAGUAGAGGGAUCAAGGCUAUAUCUCAUUUAACGUGGCCACGAACACCAGGGCGGCACAAUGCCUGGCUGAUGGUGAGCCCACCCCGGCUCCCAUCCCUCUGAGCCUCAGUUUCCUCAUCUACGAAAUGGGCAGAGGCUGGUUCUUCCCGCACAUGGCAUGCCAAAGGACCAUCCUGACACUGGCCCAUCGUUUAGUCUCCUGGGUCCCCAGCAAGUUCUGUUUUGUCACCCUCUGGAGAUUUUCCUAAACAGAUGACCAGGGUGAGCCACGCCUAAGAGUGGGAGCUCCUGGGUUUGCAUGGAGUCUUGACGACUCUCCUGCUGUGGGGAUCCCUGAGAAAGUUGGGUCUGGCCAUUUGAUGCAGGUGGGCACGCCCAUGUGGGACACAGGCAGUCCUGGGACAGCUGGUGGGGGCUGAGCCCAAAGCCCGACCUGAUUUGCUACUGGCUCUGAGGCCUCUGGGGGCAAUAAUGCCAUUCUUAUUUCUCAGAUGGGGAAACCGAGACUCGGAGAAGUUACAUGACUUGCCCUACGUCCAUCGGCUUGUGUGUGUCAAAAUGAGGAAAAAACGUUGAGAGCAGGGUGGCCCUGGGGCAGCCGUAACAGGGGUCCUCACCUUGAAAGGGCUGGGCUUCCAGGUUGCCAUAGGGGGCGUCUGAAAUGAAUCUGCCCACCACCAGCAGCCCGGGGUUGUGAGGGGACUGAGGAGCACCCCCAAAAGAGACUCAGGUGAAAGGGGCCACCCUCCCUCCAGGUGUGCAGGUCAAAAGCCUGGGAGUGAUUCCUGGCACCUCUUUUUCAGCACCCCCCCUCCCCAGGCCAUAGCCAAGGCUUGUGAUUUACCUCUGGAAAAGCGGUGGCAUCCAUCGUGCCUUCGCCUCCCUGACACCUGCACCCUCAUUCCAGCCACCACCGCGACUGUCUGGACCGAGGUGCCCCAUUGGCCUCUUGAAUCUGCUGUCACCGCCCCCUCCAGCCAUUUCUCUACUCAGUGGCCACGCCCCCAUAGCAAAGCACCAGUUGGUUUGGUCUCUUUCCCCCACCACCCUGCUCCUGGGGCAGAGACCGAAACCCUUAAGCCCGCCUAGGACCGCUAGUCAGUCACCACGUCCGCACCCAGCCUUUGGGACUCUCCCAGGCUUCCAGUCCAUUCCUCAGAGUGUCAACGGAGGGUUGCCCUGCAGGGAAGUGACAACACCUGUGCCCAGCGUCCUUCAUUCGUCUGCCUCCGCAGAGACAAGUCUCUUUCCGUGAGAGCAAAUGUAUUCAUUUGCAGGGAUACAUUUUGUUGUGUGAGGUUAUUUUGUUGCUGUCCGUCAUCCCAUUUACAGUGUGUGCUCCUGGAGGGAUAGGCCGUGUCUCUUUGUGCUUCCUGUUGUACCCUCAGUGCUGAUUAAACCGAUAUGAGAACG